rnacentral:lncRNA from 1 species
CACUGUAUUUUAUACAAAUAUAUCAUGCUUACAAGGGGUAUUUGCCAAAAAUACCGGUUGAGAGGUACAAAUUUCCAGAGCCGUUAGGCGAGGGAAAUUUGAUUACCUCGAAACCGGUAUUUUUGGCAAAUACCCCUUGUAAGCAUGAUAUAAUUGUUUAAUUCCACCGAAUGUUCCACCUCAGAGAGUUUAUUAUAAUCAAGUAUCAUAUGAAAUUUCGACUUGAAUGUAUAAUUUUUGUAUACACUGCAGCUGAGCUAUUGUGGAUUCCAGUUUUAUGUGACCGGUUGACAAUUCGUUGAGUUUUAUUUAUGACGUCAUUCCCGGAAUUUUUACGUCAAUUGGUCAAAAUUCAAUAAUGAUGCUUUUUAUCCUAAAUAUUUCAUCUGGAACCAUAUAUUUAGAAUGACCAUGAAUUUGUCAUAUUAGAACAGAAAUAAUUCAUUGAGUUAUUUUUAGACAUGGUAUUCCCCAUCUGCCAUGGUAUUUGCUAGGGUAUUUCCCAUCUGCCAUGGAAUUU